CAUCAGCAAACCCUUCAGCUAAUUGUCUUCAGCGGUCUCUUGAAAUUUAAGGGCUGUUACAACAGUAAUUUGUGCCUCUUAAAUAGUCAACUAUAAAUAGUGGGACAAACCGAGUGGGAAGCAGGAAGAACAGGGAAGGUGCUCGGAAUAGCAACUAACCUAGAAAGCGAGUCGAGUUGACGUUGAGCAGUUGCUGCUGAAGAAGAAGGAAAGGGUGAGACCCCCGGGUGCCUCUGCUCCUGCCCCUGCAGGACCCUCCGUGUCCCCCUGGCGGCCACAGCCAGGCCAACGUGGUGGGCACAGAGCGCCUUGAGCCCUCAAGACUUUCCACCUGGCUGGCCACGGGGCCCGGCCUGGCAGUGGGGAGCGUGGUCCUGGCCCUGGAGCCCUGUGGUCACCAUGUGGCCUUGUGCCCAACACCAAACAGUAGCAACUCAGAGACAGCCACGCAGGAGGGGACACCCCGAUGCAAGCUGAGGCGUCCUCCCCGGCCUCCACCUGUGCUGCUCACUGGUCAGCUCGUGCUUUCAUUCACGAGGUACCCACCUGCCCCUACGAGCGAGGCCCUGUCCUGGGAGGCCACACCUCAGGGAGGUGACUGUCCGCUUGAGGAUGGGUGCUGUGGUUCGUGGGCAGGGUGACUCUGCAGGUGUGGCCAGAGCAGUGCUGCCAGCAGCAGGUUCAUGAGGCGCCGGGUUCCCGGAGGCCAUCAGCGCAGCCCACCCAGAGGGAGCCUGAACCCGCCACGGGGAGCCCCAUCCCUGAGUGCCGCUGGUGGGCAGGAGGGUGGCUCCCAGCCCCUCCCGGCACCCUGCUACCUGGGAGGAGCACCCACCCCACCUCCUGCCCCCAGCAGGAGAGAGGGAGGGCUGGAGAACUGGAGGGCUGGCCCCAGGCAUCUUCCCGAGCCUCCAGAACACUCCCGGACUGAGCCAGGGCCAGGUCGUGGGCUUGCCCGGCUGCUGGGGCUCCCACUUCCCACCCGCCUCCUCGAUCCCUCCCUGUGGCUCCCUCUGGGCCCCUCUCCUGCGCACACCCCAUGUCCUCGGCUCCUGCCAGCCUCUUCCUCCUGGGGCCUCCCAGCGUUUGAAUCUCGCACACCCAUCCCUGGAGCCCUGACCUUGCACCUCCAGCAACCUGCCCCAAUCUCUGUGGCCUCCUCCUGGGGCUGGGCCGGGGGCCAGGGCCUUGCAUCUGGGUCCUGCCCCGCUGGCGGCCCCCACCUCUACCUGAGGUCCCAGCAGUCUCUGGGCAGUGCUGCCCUGGGGGCUGCCUCGCUCCCCUGCUCAGAGGAGAGGCCAAGGCUGUCAUGAGGGGCCUGCUCUGGGGUAUCCUGCCCCAGGACCCCCAGCCAUCCCCAGGGGACAGACUGGGGUGGCAGAGCAGGGCAUGGGACUCUUGCAGGGGCACAGGACACUUGUGCUUGGGGCUGUGUCCAAAGGUGGCAGGUGCUGAGCCCUCAGUACUGCCCUGCUGCCCUCUCUGCUCAGGAGGUCACCUCUACCACUUGACCCUCUCCUGUGAGAGCCGCAGCUGCUGCUGGUGGACCCCUCCCUUCUGCCGACCCUCACCCUCCUUGGACCCUGAGCAGCCUCUGUCCGUGUGGAGAGUCCAGGGCCUGGGGCACUUGCAGUGCAGUGAGUUCAUCCCAGGGACUGUUGCAGAGACCUG
rnacentral:lncRNA from 1 species